AGAUUUCAUUUUUAAGUAAUCUCGAUGUGGGGCUCAAACUCACAACCCCGAGAUCAAGAGUUGCAUGCUCCAACUGACUGAGCCAGCCAGCGCCCGACCCUCCAGACUUUGAAGACAAGGAGACCAACUCCACAUGAGUUCAGUGACUUCAUUCCCACCAAGGGAGGCCCAUGUCCCAAUUCUUCACCCUUGCACCUCCUGAACACUUGGCACUUUAAUAUCUUUACAGACAUUAGUGCUUAGGUCUCCUGGACCUCUGGCCAGGAUUGCUGAACCCCAGGGGGAAAGUCUGGAUGAUUCUCUCUGCCUCCAGAACUCAAUUCAACUGCAACGCUUUGAUACCAUUUUGAAAUUUUAGAAGAAGUACUUCCACAUACACUACACAAGUCAAGAGCACUGUGAUUCAUGUUGGAGUCACCUAUUUAUUCAGGCUUUCUGGGAAAUCAAUAAUCUAUGAACCAAAAGGAAAACGAGAAAAGCACCAUCACUUUAGGGAAAAAAAACCCUAUCCAACAGCAGUAAUGGAAUCAAACAUGCCAUGAACUGAUUUAAGGUUUUAUUCUGGCCUCCUUUGGAAAAAACAACCCCGAACAAAAUUACCUAAGCACUAUUUAAAAAAAAAUUCUUUAACAUAUAUUUAUUUUUGAGAGACAGAGAGAGUCAGCAGGGGAGGGACAGAUAGAGACGGAGACACAGAAUGUGAAGCAGGCUCCAGCCUCUGAGCUGUCAGCACAGAGCCCGAUGCAGGGCUCAAACAUGACCUGAGCCAAAGUCGGGUGCUUAACCGACUGAGCCACCCAGGCACCCUUCCUAAGCACUAUUUUAGGUGCAGAAAUGUGAUUUAUAGCUGUCUCUUCCUUGGUGUAAAAAUUACAGGUUUAUUUUCACUUUUAAGAAUAUUUAAAUUUGCAUAAGGAAAUAUAUUUAAAUAAAGUAUCUAGACAUAUUUGUCUUUCCUUACUGGCCUGGACUUCAAUACUAAAGAAAUGCUGGUCUAACUUUAGAGAACAAAACAUCAUGGAGGUUCUACUCUGGAAUUCGGGAAGAAGAAAAAGGUGUAAAUUAAGGGAGAGAUUACAAACCCAAAGAGUAGUAAUGAACAAAGGAAAGGUACCAAGUUUGUUUCUUAGCUGUCAUAUGAGGACCUGCUUGAGCACUAACAGCUAGGGUAUAGGAGCCAGAGAAACAGGUGAGUGCAAGGAAUGAUUUGAAAUGUGGUGUCCUUUACAUCUAGGGACACUAAUGCCUUUUUCAAAAUUCACAGCACAAAUUGUUAGAAUUCACAGUAAGAAAUAACGUUUUUCUUCACUUUAUAACAUUAAAAAAAUGACAGCCUGGGAAUGCCAUUGCUAGUAAGUAGAAAAGAAUGUACUGCAAUCAAACUUGAUUAAAAAUAGGAUGGGGGGGGGUGUGCCUUGGGUGGCUCAGUUCGUUGAGUGUGGGACUCCUGGUUUUGGAUCAUGACCUGAUCUCAUGCUGGUGAGAUCUUUGCCCCUAUUUCCACCUCCUGCUCUCUUUCUCAAAAAAAAAAAAAAAAGAUAAUUUUGACUUAAAAAGAGCCCCUAAUAAA